AUGUCUUCCUCAAGCUCCCGCGCCACCUCGCGGAUGCAGAGCCGGGCGCGUGUGGACAUGCCUGUCUACGUCUGUCCACGGUGUCGGGUGGGCGUUGAUCGGAGGGUUUCUUACACACCGAGGAACCAGAAUCGUCCGUUCUACGUGUGCAGCAAGAAUGGGGUAAGAAUCAGGGCAAUUGCACCAUUUUCGUGGUCGGGAUCUUUGAGCAAUGGGUUGAUCUGUUUGGUGUUCAUGCAUGUGACAUGCUUCUUUCUUUGGGUCGAUGCUCUGGCCAAGACUCUGAUGAAUGAACUGCAAGAAGAGCAUGAAGAAUGGUUGCGCAUGCUGCCACGAACGGCAGUGGCCGCAGCAUGA
rnacentral:rRNA from 1 species